rnacentral:rRNA from 1 species
AUUGAACGCUGGCGGCAUGCUUUACACAUGCAAGUCGAACGGCAGCGCGGGCUUCGGCCUGGCGGCGAGUGGCGAACGGGUGAGUAAUGCAUCGGAACGUGCCCAGUAGUGGGGGAUAGCCCGGCGAAAGCCGGAUUAAUACCGCAUACGACCUGAGGGUGAAAGCGGGGGACCGAAAGGCCUCGUGCUAUUGGAGCGGCCGAUGUCGGAUUAGCUAGUUGGUGGGGUAAAGGCUUACCAAGGCGACGAUCCGUAGCUGGUCUGAGAGGACGACCAGCCACACUGGGACUGAGACACGGCCCAGACUCCUACGGGAGGCAGCAGUGGGGAAUUUUGGACAAUGGGGGCAACCCUGAUCCAGCCAUGCCGCGUGCGGGAAGAAGGCCUUCGGGUUGUAAACCGCUUUUGUUCGGGAAGAAAUCCUCUGGGCUAAUACCCCGGGGGGAUGACGGUACCGGAAGAAUAGGCACCGGCUAACUACGUG